rnacentral:rRNA from 1 species
GAACGAACGUUGGCGGCGCGCCUAAUACAUGCAAGUCGAGCGAGAAGACGUAGCAAGUACGUUUGUAAAGCGGCGAACGGGUGAGGAAUACAUGGGUAACCUACCCUCGAGUGGGGAAUAACUAGCCGAAAGGUUAGCUAAUACCGCGUACGCUUCUUGGACUUCGGUUCAGGGAGGAAAGCGAUGCCGAGGGUAUCGGCGCUACUUGGAUGGGCUCAUGUCCUAUCAGCUUGUUGGUGAGGUAACGGCUUACCAAGGCUUCGACGGGUAGCUGGU